UACGGAGGGGGUUAGCGUUGUUCGGAAUUACUGGGCGUAAAGCGUACGUAGGCGGAUCAGAAAGUAUAGGGUGAAAUCCCAGGGCUCAACCCUGGAACUGCCUUAUAAACUCCUGGUCUUGAGUUCGGGAGAGGAUGGUGGAAUUCCCAGUGUAGAGGUGAAAUUCGUAGAUAUUGGGAAGAACACCGGUGGCGAAGGCGGCCUUCUGGACUGACACUGACACUGAGGUGCGAAAGCGUGGGUAGCAAACAGG
rnacentral:misc_RNA from 1 species